rnacentral:lncRNA from 1 species
UGGAGAGGUGAAAAUAGAAACAUACACACUGGCUCUUAGGCAGCCCAGAAGCCGCAUAACCCAUUCCCUCUUUCACUUCAUUGUCCGAAGCAAGUCAUACAGCCAAGACUAAUUUCAGAGAGAGAAAGAAGUACAAUCUUCCCACGUACCCAUGAAGAGAGGGGCUCUGUGAGCAUCAGGAGACAGCAAUAAUGUCUUCCACAGUGCCUUCUGAGAAAAUAGAAGCUGUGGUCUUGUGGUAAUAUGGCUGCUACAGUUAGAAACCAAAAUUAGAAACCAAGCAACCACAAGAGGAAAGGCUCUGGAACAAUUCUAGGCCCUGACCCAGCAUUUCCAACCAAAGACACUGCAGGCGUCCACGCUUUGCUGCACAUAUGGUCUCUAGUCUGCAACUCUAUGAACAGUGGGCAAUCUCCACAUACCUCAAAUGCAUACCUAGAAACCUUCAUGCUCACUUAACUGAGACUUUUCAACAAAUCUUAGAGAAAAAGAAAACUAGAUAACCAGUUACUUAACUACGGACUAUAACUCAACUCAUAGCAGAGUAUCAUCAACAGUUCUGCUGCCAUGAUCCAACAUCAGAGAAAUACUCGUUUUUCAUCAGAACCACUGAUAUGAGCUUCUCUGACAUUGAGCUAUGGAUUUUAUUGUUAUUUUAAAGAGAAAUUACUGUCAAGCACAUGAAUUUUAUAACAUCUGUUUUCAUUCUGAAACCCUUUUUCCCAAAGAAGUUUCCUUUUUUUCUCAAAGAAGUAAGAAUUACCAUAGAAGACCCAAGAAUUCUAAAAACUUCACAAACUUAUACAUAAAAAUUAAACAAGUUGUCAAAGUCAUGGAUUUGGGGGUGAAAGGGAGGAGGUUGCAAACUAGUCAUACUGAUGACCUAACCUUAGGAACACCAAAAGAGAAAAGUACCCACUGGAUUCUUCUCUUCCUAUCCAAUUAUAUAAUAACAUAGAGAUAAAUUCCAAGAUUCACUUCAGUUUAGAAUUCUUUCAUGAUGAUUCCCAGGUUGUCUGAGGUAUAAACCAUUAUGUUCAUCCCCCAGAGAGCCACAAGGAAUUAGAAAAAUACAACAGAUCCCUGGAGUCAAGAACUCUUAGCCCUUUACCCACAAAUGACACUCAGCUGGGUCAAUAAUACUUGCUUUCUAAAAAAAUACAGGGAUGUGAUAUUACUCCUUUAUUAAAACAACUUUUUGAGCUGGCCUGUUUAUGUGAUUUUUUUUAAAAAAAACAGUGUGUUGGUGAAUUAUGUUACAAUUAGUGAAAUUUCAGGAAGGAAACCACUCAGGACUCAUAUUUUAUGACUGUGUCACUUGAAAUAUUAUGGCUAGAGUCUGAUUUAUCAACAAUCUGCUAGAGGGAUGAUAGUCUUCUUCUGUAUUUUUAAGAGUGCAAAAGGAAGACUUGAGUAGUUAUUAUGUGGCCAGCAACUGAUUUAUAUUGCUUCCCAUUGCAGUCAAAUAAUCUUGAGCAAAAAGGGGGGAAAGGGU